rnacentral:rRNA from 1 species
CAGCCUGCCCAGUGACAAAAUUUAACGGCCGCGGUACCCUAACCGUGCGAAGGUAGCAUAAUCAUUUGUUCUUUAAAUGAGGACUAGUAUCAACGGCAUCACGAGGGUUAAACUGUCUCCUUUUUCAUAUCAGUAAAACUAAUCUCCCCGUGAAGAAGCGGGAAUAAUUUUAUAAGACGAGAAGACCCCAUGGAGCUUUAAACCCAACUACACCCCUCUUAAUUUUACCUCUUAACACUCAGGAUCCUGUAUGUUCCGGUUUUAGGUUGGGGUGACCACGGAGCAUAGAUUAGCCUCCAUAAUGAAUAGACCUCCUCUUUAUCCAAGACUUACACCUCUAAGAAUUAGCAUUCUAACAUAAAAUGAUCCGAUAUUCGAUCAACGAACCAAGUUACCCUGGGGAUAACAGCGCAAUCUACUUCAAGAGCUCCUAUCGACAAGUGGGUUUACGACCUCGAUGUUGGAUCAGGGUAUCCCAGUGGUGCAGCAGCUGCUAAAGGUUCGUUUGUUCAACGAUUAAAACCCU